CGGAACACGUACAGAACCUUCCUUUAAGCGGGGGAUAGCCCAUAGAAAUGUGGAUUAAUACCCCAUAAUAUUAUUGACUGGCAUCAGUUGAUAAUUAAAGAUUUAUCACUUAAAGAUGGCUGUGCGGCUGAUUAGGUAGUUGGUUGGGGUAACGGCCCACCAAGCCAUCGAUCAGUAACUGGUGUGAGAGCACGACCAGUCACACGGGCACUGGGACACGGGCCCG
rnacentral:rRNA from 1 species